GGAUAACCUGCCCUUGGGACCGGGAUAACCCCGGGAAACUGGGGAUAAUACCGGAUAACGCAUAUCUGCUGGAAUGCUUUAUGCGUAAAAUGGAUUUGUCUGCCCAAGGAUGGGUCUGCGGCCUAUCAGGUAGUAGUGGGUGUAAUGUACCUACUAGCCUACGACGGGUACGGGUUGUGAGAGCAAGAGCCCGGAGAUGGAUUCUGAGACAUGAAUCCAGGCCCUACGGGGCGCAGCAGGCGCGAAAACUUUACAAUGCGGGAAACCGUGAUAAGGGGACACCGAGUGCCAGCAUCAUAUGUUGGCUGUCCAGAUGUGUAAAAUACAUCUGUUAGCAAGGGCCGGGCAAGACCGGUGCCAGCCGCCGCGGUAACACCGGCGGCCCGAGUGGUGAUCGUGAUUAUUGGGUCUAAAGGGUCCGUAGCCGGUUUGGUCAGUCCUCCGGGAAAUCUGACGGCUCAACCGUUAGGCUUUCGGUGGAUACUGCCAGACUUGGAACCGGGAGAGGCAAGAGGUACUACAGGGGUAGGAGUGAAAUCUUGUAAUCCCUGUGAGACCACCUGUGGCGAAGGCGUCUUACCAGAACGGGUUCGACGGUGAGGGACGAAAGCUGGGGGCACGAACCGGAUUAGAUACCCGGGUAGUCCCAGCCGUAAACGAUGCUCGCUAGGUGUCAGGCAUGGCGCGACCGUGUCUGGUGCCGCAGGGAAGCCGUGAAGCGAGCCACCUGGGAAGUACGGGCCGCAAGGCUGAAACU
rnacentral:rRNA from 1 species